rnacentral:piRNA from 1 species
UAUAGCUAGCUAGUCAAUUAUAUUUGCCUA